UCAGAGGGGGCGCCCUGUUUAACUCAGUGUCCUGCUCUCCGCUCCCCGUCGCUGCUGCCUCUGACUGCUCUGCUUGUUCUGGGACUGCAACCGGUCCUGCUUCAGCUAUUUCCUGUGGACUGACAGCUGGGCUCUGCCAUUCAGGCUGCUGCUCUUCUGCUUGGGGCUCCUCUGUGGCAAAAUUCAGCUCCCCCAUGUACUGGGGAGAGAAACAGUGCCUUGCAAAAGCUGACACUUGGGAGCAAAGGCAUGCAGCGAGCGACACCCUUGUUUGCAGAAGCGCUGAAGCCAGUGCUGAGCUGUCGCUUUGCAGGGGCAAGGCUGGAGGAAUUGGGAGCAAUGAGGCAAAGGGAGUGGAGGUUCCUAGAAAGGCUUGGGAAGAUCUGUGCACUGGAAGAUUCUCCUCCGUCCCCCCAAAUCCCAGCCUCCAGGAGACUGCUUUUCCCACAUGCAGCAUUAGCCCCACCCAGGGACAUGAUAAGAAGGUCUUGAGGUGAUCAUUUCCUAAUUGUGGAUACAUCUCCAGGAGAAUAAAGGAGAAACCAUCUGUUGUGCAGUUUGAGAUGAGACUCCGCUUCAUAUGCUGUGGAAGAAGCAAAGUGUGUUGGUAAA